rfam:Lactobacillus nasuensis JCM 17158 NODE_36, whole genome shotgun sequence.
GGAGAGUUGGCAGAGUGGUAAUGCAACGGACUCGAAAUCCGUCGAACCGGGUCAUUCCGGCGCGCAGGUUCAAAUCCUGUACUCUCCU